UCCGGAACAGUGGCGGACGGGUGAGUAACACGUGAGCAACCUGCCUUUCAGAGGGGGACAACAGUUGGAAACGACUGCUAAUACCGCAUAACGUAUUUUGGCGGCAUCGCCGGAAUACCAAAGGAGCAAUCCGCUGAAAGAUGGGCUCGCGUCUGAUUAGAUAGUUGGUGAGGUAACGGCUCACCAAGUCGACGAUCAGUAGCCGGACUGAGAGGUUGAACGGCCACAUUGGGACUGAGACACGGCCCAGACUCCUACGGGAGGCAGCAGUGGGGGAUAUUGGACAAUGGGGGAAACCCUGAUCCAGCGAUGCCGCGUGAGGGAAGAAGGUUUUCGGAUUGUAAACCUCUGUGGAGGGGGACGAUAAUGACGGUACCCCUUUAGGAAGCCACGGCUAACUACGUGCCAGCAGCCGCGGUAAUACGUAGGUGGCGAGCGUUGUCCGGAAUUACUGGGUGUAAAGGGAGUGUAGGCGGGAAAGCAAGUCAGAAGUGAAAACUAUGGGCUUAACCCAUAGCCUGCUUUUGAAACUGUUUUUCUUGAAUGAAGUAGAGGCAAGCGGAAUUCCUAGUGUAGCGGUGAAAUGC
rnacentral:rRNA from 1 species